GAUGAAGAACGUAGCGAAAUGCGAUAAGUAAUGUGAAUUGCAGAAUUCAGUGAAUCAUCGAAUCUUUGAACGCACAUUGCGCCCCUUGGUAUUCCGAGGGGCAUGCCUAUUCGAGCGUCAUUAUCACCCCUCAAGCCUAGCUUGGUGUUGGGGCUUGCUGUAAAGGCAGCCUCUAAAAUCAGUGGCAGUGCUGUCAGGCUCUAAGCGUAGUAAAUUCAUCGCUAUAGGGUCCUGGUGGAUACUCGUCAAAACCCCCAUUUUUAAUGAUUGACCUCGGAUUAGGUAGGGAUACCCGCUGAACUUAAGCAUAUCAAUAAGCGGAGGA
rnacentral:misc_RNA from 1 species